GAGCCUAUGGGUUGAGAAGUGAACAACAUUCCUUUUACAUUUCCACUUAUUCAGCUAGGGUAGAGGAUGCAGAAACAUUCCAGUUUUUUAGGGAUUUUUUUAAAGGGGGGGGUGUUAAAUUAAUUUUGUCAUGGUUUUAGUUUUGAUCACUUAAAUCAGUUACAGCUCUGUUCCUACUAAUACAUUCCUGGGUUUUGUAUAUACAAAACUUUUAUUCAGUAGAAUUCAAGUUUUGGGGGAGGAAGAAUAUAAAAUUGGAAAUUCUGAGUGAAAUACAUGUAAAUGUAUUUAAACGUGCAUAAUUGGUACCACAUCAAAUUCAUACAGACAUUUGUGAGUUGUCGGAUUCCUUGGUAUACAAUUUUGCAUUGGAUCAAGAAGAUGCGUUUAUUUUUUUAAUGUGUUGUGUUUGUACAUAUAUGAUCAAAUAUAAGAGGUGGGAUACUAAUUUUACGAGUGUCCAGCGAUUGGAGAUGUAUAUAAUAACCUGGGGACAGUCUGAGGCUGCCCCCGUCUUGUACAGUCAUCAAUUACCCAUAGGGCCCCUCUGCAUGCCAUUGUCCCUUCCUUUGUAUCAGAUUCGUGCCUUAUUGCCAUUUUUAACAAAUCACUGAGUACGAGAGACUGAGAUUCUUUUUUUACCAUUUCCAUGUAUUUUACAAACAUUCCUCGACAUAUUCAGUGGAAAUAUUAAUUUGUUUGUAUUACAAAUUUCAUGUAGAUUUAUUGAUAGAUCCAGUUUUAAAUCUUUUUUUUCGCUAAAUUUUUGUACUAUAGAUUAUGUUCGCAUGUAAACCAUUUACCUAUUAGGUUUUGCUUUUGCUUAAAAACUUUCUUGAACUUGGUUUUCAAUGAAUACAUUAUCAUUUGUGAAAUAACUAUUAUAAACAAGAAAAUGGCAAAAUCAGAAAUUUCCAGAUGGAAACAAAUAGCGCAAAAAAGUUGACAAUCAAGCUCAAAUUUAAAUUAACAGAAAAUUGCUUUUUGAGUCUGUUUCAGUAUAAACGUUGGUAUGAUUUCAGAGUUUGAGAUUUUGGUUUGUAAACCUGCUCUUGGAACUGGAUCUCCUGUUUCCUUUGUUUACUGACAUACUGAAAUGAUGAUGGUAAAUGCUUGUGUUGUGAAUCAUAUACAAAUUAUUUUGUACAGAAAAUUUUUAUACAUAUUGCUACAUCAUUUUAAUAAACUUAUAAUUGAUAACCU
rnacentral:misc_RNA from 1 species